GCUUGCUUUGGCAGUGCAUAUAUUAAAAUUGGAAUGAUACAGAGAAGACUAAUAUGGCCCCUGUGCAAGAUUGACAUGCAAAUUUGUGAAGCAUUCCCUAUUUUG
rfam:Tupaia chinensis contig11668, whole genome shotgun sequence.